ACUCGUUUUCUAAGAAUAUCUAAUUUGAUCAAAAUACCCGUGCCCUUUACCUUUAACUGCACACGGAUUCAGACCACCAAUUAAAGCUAGUCACGUGUCUUCUCUCUGUGCAUCCUAUUGUUCCCCCUUGACCCCUCAUGCCCUCUCUCUUCCCUCAAACUAACACCCAAUAUCACCACUUCAACCUAAUUGAAAUCUAAAUACAUCAUUCUUUUGUUCAAUCAGUCAUCAAAACCAUUAAAUAAAACAACAAUUAAGACGGAUUUAGAUUGUGUUAAUCUCUUUAUUCUUUAUCUUUAUGAAAAAACCAUAAACCGGGGUAUGUGAACUUCGAUUUGUUUUUUUGGUUAGUGUAACGAUGAAGCGUAUAGAACGGAUUUUAUAUCUCUUGUUGUUGGAACUGUUCCGAUGGCAAACCCACACAAGGUAAAGAGACUCUAUGUAUAGCAUUGUUCCGUUCCGACUUGAACGAGUGGCUGUUUGUAAUAGACUCUAGUUAUAGUUUUGGUAGAACUUAGCGUGAUAUCUUUUGGCUGCUCGUAGUUAAAUUCUAGUAAUAUUGGUCCAAAGUAGAGAAGAAGCAAUUAAUUUAUAACAUUAAUACUCGCUUCCAUGUACGUGUUGUAGUUUAUGUGUUUCUAUUGAUUGCUAGUUAAACUGUAGUAAUAUUGUUGUUCGUGUAUUAAACUCUAGCAAUGUGACCAAACGGAUGAUGGUAUUUUUUACAA